GUGGUUAACAUCGGUGUCACUUCGGGUGCAGGUGAUAUACCCUGACACCCAGUCUCUUCUGUGUGAGAGGCUGAUUCUAGGAAGACUGUGAAAUGGUACGAACCUGUAACUUUGCUGGUAGAAACUGAAGAUUAACAGAGAACUGUGUUUCACUCAAGUGCCAAAAAGGCCUUGAGCCUCCUAGCCCAAAAUCUACACAGUUUUUGCAUUUUUUUCACAUCAAUCCAGACAGUUGUCCCUCCCCUCCCACCCCUCAGGACCUGUCCACCAUUAAAAUGCACAAGCCACACAGCUUGUUUUAUCACGUACCUUUAUUUUCAGGAGUUACUACAACCAAGUUCUGUUUGGGACAAGUGUAGACAAAUUCUUAAAGAACCUAAGUGGAGUCUAGCUAGGACAGGAGAGGGAAGAAGAGUGUCAGGAAGCCAAGAAGCAGACUUGGAAGGCCUUCUCCACGGGCUGACGAGGGUCCGUUUCCCCUCUGCCGUGACACGGCCCUUCCAGGACUUCACGCUGGGGAUCAGUCCCCACGGAGGGCCAGUUCCUGUAGCCACCCAUCCUCCAGUCAGUGAUGGGACGUAGCUGACCCUGGGCUCUACCGUCGCAGUCAGUCACCUGAGAGACAUUUCCUUCCGAAUUGUAUUGGAAGAGAAAGAAAAGCAUGUCUGAGCACGUCUAAAGAAAGCAAGAGCCGGUUUUAAACACGUGGUGGCCAGAAAUCGUCAGUUGCGUGGACGGCGUCCUCUCCCUUUGGCUGUGUUCUCAACUAUACAGAAACAUUUAUUUUGAAGGUUUUGACUGCUGUUCAUUUGAAAUAUGUUAACCUUGUUAUGGAAUUCGGUUUUUUAAAAAGAUGUUUCCAAUUGGGAUUUUUAAAAGAAGAAUGGAGUUUGGUUGCUAUUUUAUGACAGAACCUAAGCUUUUUGUGGUUCUUGGUGUCCUGUGUAAAACUUGGUGUGAAAGUAAUCAUCCUUGAAGUGUCCCCUUCUAUUCUGCUUUAUAUUACAAGCCCAUUAGGAAAUGGGAACCUGGUGAAUAUAUAAUGAAUUGUAAAAUAUUUUAAUGUGUAACUUUUUCAACUGUGAAACUCUGACUUGGUUUUUGAUGAAAACAGCUGCUGAUAAAGUACUUUGUGUAAAGUGUAGUUCUUAUUCAUCAGGAAAACGAUGACUUGAUUCAACUGUAUGUACCCUCUUGGAUUUUAUUUUUAGUAGAUUGGUGAUUUCCACAUACGUAAAAUACAGUCCAUCUGUAUUCCUAUUUCCAACAGGAGUUGAAUGAUUUGGCAUUAUUAAAAAAUGGUGAGCAGCCCAUUUCUAAAUACCAUGGAAAUUUCAGAGCACACAAACUUGGGUUUGUUUCUUUUAUUUAUGACUUUGUAUAUUUGUUUAAUUUCUGUUUUGAUCAACAAUUGAUGCUUGCCAGCUCUUCAGAAGAGCAAUGUUUUAAAGCUAAAAUAUUUACUUGUUCUGAAUCCCAUGAGUCCCUCUUGUCUGUGUCUGCACAGACGGCAGGUCUGGCUGGGCCCCUGCGUUCAGGAUCCGCCUUUCAGAGUCAUUUUGAUGUCCAGGACAUCUCUGAAAUAUUUCCAUUUUUUGAAAGACUACGCAGUGUGGGUAGGUAGAUGGCGGUGCUUCUGUUUAAAGACAGCUCGCACAUGUCCGCCGUUCCUGGGGAGAGGGGUGUGGAGAGGGGGUAGAACAGGGAGAGGUCGUUUGAACCAGUUGUCUCUAUGCCCCUCCUGCUCAGGCGGGGUGUCUGAGAGGAGGCUGGGAGUCGGGUGCUCACUGUGCCUGGCAGGGACGCCACUGCACACGGGGCAUAAAGGCGGGCUGUCAAAUUCCAAUCAUUCUUGGCAGAGUAAUACAGCUGGGCUGUUUUUUAAAAUUCAAACACAAAACCAUUUUUAUUACUACAUUAAAAUUGUAAAUAUUUCUUACAGGUCAUGGCCUGGGAAGCCUUUUUCUUUCCUCUUAAAAAUCAUUUUCACUCUGAGAUGACAGGUGCAGCUCAAAGAGACUAUGGCCUGCCAAAGUCGAUGGCAGAUCUGUCCAGGAAGGCCAGCAGAGGGAGACGGCCAAGUCACCACUCAGCGAGCCCAGGCCCUGCCAGCCACUGCACUUCACACCUGUCCAGGUAGAACUGCGUGCCUGUGCGGAAUGGUAUAGGGGACAUUAAGGAAAGUGCGUGGCCAGAUGGGAUCAUCGCCCAGUCAUUCUGAAAAGACGAGCGUGAGCAGGCUCGUGGCGCAGGUCCUUGCCCUCGGCCUGAAGUCAGCGUAUUCCUCCUCACUGCAGUGCAUGUGCUGUGCUCACAUUUGCACGCGUUUCUACUUGUGCACGCGCAGCUUCACCCUCAUCAGGAAGUGUCGUCUUUAGAACAUCAAGGUUCUGAAACUCAGGAGCGUUUAGAAUGUGUCGGAGCCCUCCGGUCAGGAUGUCAGCCUUGGAGUGAACAUCCUCAUCUCACUCAGGUGUCCCACCUGACUGAGGUUCUGUACCUGCUCUGUCUCAGUGCAGGUCUGUCCCUCGGCUUGGUUUCAGAUUUAACAUAUGUUCCUAAGAGUGAUUGGGGAACUUGACCAUCACAUGAUUUCUAAAGAUGGUUCUGGCCGUGGAACUCGAGUUUCCAAGUGCAGGUCACUGUGUGAGCUGGCCCUCAGACCACCUGGGCUGAAUGAAAUCUACAAGGACACAGACCCUUUUGCAGCGUUCACAUGUCACUGUGCGGUCUUGAGGACUGUGACACUGCCGGAAGGAAAAGGUGAACACAUCAAACGUCUCGUGUAGAAGCUUCGACCAGACGCUCCAGCCACCUCGAUAGCCCAUCGGUCGGCAUCUGUUUUCCUGUACUUUGUCAUGGAUGAGGCAACGUGCCAGUCAGGAGGAGAACGUGUCAGUGCUCUUUCAAAGGUGGCCUGACCAGUCCCUGACGCAGCAAGGUGCGUUGCCGUGCGAGCGUGGACGGCAGCGUCUCCACACCCGAGGCCUCUCCCAGCCUCGCGGCUCGGGCAGGCCUGUGCCUGCACUCGUGUGUGCCCAUCAGACACUCAGUGUCUACUUCUCGCGGCAGUCUGUAACACCACUCUGUAUUAAAGAAAACGCGAAAACCGA